rnacentral:lncRNA from 1 species
AUGUUCGGGUGCUGGCCCAGACCCCGCCCAGCUGAAGAUCUGGGAUGCCCCUGGAUGACGGAGUCUGUCUGUGUAGCCCAGAGAUUAGCUUGCCCAAGUCACAUCACUGACAAACCCUGGAGCGGGGCUUUGAAGCCAGACCCUUCGGACUACUCUGAGGAUUUCUUUUUUUGGUACCCGGGAUCGAACUCAGGUCCUUGUGCUUGCAAGGCAGACGGCGGAACCACUCAGCUAAAUCCCCGGCCCUACUCUGAGGGUUUCAAAGGCUCCAAGAGCGGAGCAAGGUGCACACGCAGGCCCCGGCUUCAUCCUUGCACCUCGGGCUCUCGGAUGACUUUGCCUCCGGAAGCCUCAGCCUCCACGCUCUGAAGUGCUCACCACGGUGCGCAGAGACCUCGUCCAACCUCGUGGGCGCUGAGCAGCAGUCGCUAGAGGGCGCUCCAGAGAGAAUGUGCGGCGGGAUCCCAGAACCCACAGGACUGCAGCCUGGGGCACAGGAGUCUGCAGGGACGCGGGGCGUGUGUGUGGGGGGUCUCUCUCGGCCUCCUUCUCUUGGGGAGGACAGCCUGGGGGCCCUGAGUCCGCAGCUUCAGAUUCCUCAUGGCCGCUAUCAGCUGUUCCUGCUCACCCUUCCUGGACUCGGACCCUCUACAGCUCCCUUGUGGUGGCCCUGUGAUCCCAGCAUGCUGCUGGGAGGCUGAGGCAGGAGGACUCCAAGUUUGAGCUACACCUUGGAAACUUAAGUGACUUAGAGAGACCCUGUCUUGGAAUUCUUUGAGCCAGAGAGAACAUCUUAAAGUGCUCCCUCAUUAAUGUGAUAAGUAAACAUUUAAUGAACUUUAUAACUGUGUUUUUUCCAAAAACUUACUACCUAAUGUUAUUUAUUCUGAAAUUUAAAAUAACAGUUUGACACAUUUUUGCAAGAGUCUCUGGGGGAAAAGCAAGAGAAGUAGAACAUGAAUAAUUUUAGGCAACAAAGAACAAGGCCAGGUGGAAAUUCCUAGCCAGCCGUGGUGUGUCCAGAGGUCAGGGCUGAGCUUGGACAAGGGGCAGAGCCCUGAGUGGUGGCACAGAGGGCAGAGAGGAAGACUCGGCACAGAUGGCUGGCAAACCGCUCAGUGCAGUCCCUGCCUGGCAUCACCGUGAUGGCCUCAGUCCACCCCUUCCUUUGGCUACCAGCUGCCUUGCACAGGGACACCAAACAGCUUGAAGGCAUCUGCAGCUCUGCUUCAAACCCUGGACCCUGGAGUUUGGGCUAGGGCCUGUGAGUGCCCCGAAAUAGGAGCCACAGCGGGUGCACUGCAACACAGGAAAGGGUCGGCCAGAGAUGACCACUGCCUGCUGGUCAGGGGAGGAGCAAGGCGAGGGAAGCAUCCUCCACAGAGGCC